rnacentral:rRNA from 1 species
UACGAAGGGUGCAAGCGUUAAUCGGAAUUACUGGGCGUAAAGCGUGCGUAGGCGGUUUGUUAAGUCCGUUGUGAAAGCCCUGGGCUCAACCUGGGAAUUGCAGUGGAUACUGGCAAGCUAGAGUCAGGUAGAGGGUGGGUGGGAAUUCCCGGUGUAGCGGUGAAAUGCGUAGAGAUCGGGAGGAACAUCUGUGGCGAAGGCGGCCACCUGGACCAUGACUGACGCUGAGGCACGAAAGCGUGGGGAGCAAACAGG